rnacentral:rRNA from 1 species
UACGGGGGGGGCAAGCGUUGUUCGGAAUUACUGGGCGUAAAGGGCUCGUAGGCGGUUUUGUAAGUCGGGUGUGAAAUCCCCAAGCUUAACUUGGGAACUGCAUUCGAGACUGCAUAGCUAGAGUAUGGGAGAGGGAAGUGGAAUUUCAGGUGUAGCGGUGAAAUGCGUAGAUAUCUGAAGGAACAUCAGUGGCGAAAGCGACUUCCUGGACCAAUACUGACGCUCAUGUGCGAAAGCGUGGGGAGCAAACAGG